AGUUUUAAACAGUCCAGCGUCUGCUACAUCAAGCUGAGGAGCUAACAUUAGAGGGAAUUACUGGGUGGAGUGUCUGUUAACUUCAAAGUGAAGCAAACAUCUAAACUGUUAAAGAUAAGAGUGGAAACUGAUUCAACAGGAGACAAAAGUCAAAAGAAGACAGCAUAUCUCUGAAAAGUCAACUGCCUAAGGAGACCAUGGAGCUGGGACCAUAUAUAAUUAUUUGUAUAUGUGCUGUAAAUGCUGUUGUUUGGGGAUGCCCCCAGCAAUGCAAGUGCAAGGACAACAAUACUAUUUGCAAGGGCUAUGACAUUAAAGACUUUCCAUCCCAUAUUCCAUCAACAACAAAGUCUAUAAGCCUUUCAUGUACUAACAUUUCCUCACUGAAACCUGCUGAUUUUGAUGCAUUUUCUGAGACUUUGACAAAAAUUACAGUUAAUAAUUCAAGGAUAAAUGAGGUGCAACCUCACACAUUUGACAAGAUGCACAAACUCACCACUUUAGUGUGUUCAGGAACUGAGCUGGUUUCUCUACCAGAGGACUUGUUUCAGAAACUACACUCACUCACCCUUCUGAGGCUGAGUAACAACAAGCUAAAUAAACUCCCUUCAUCCCUGCUAACAUCUCUUCAGUCUCUGAAAAUCUUAGACCUAAGCAAAAACAACUUGAGUUCUAUUCCAGAGGAUGCAUUUCAGGGUCUCAUUCACUUGGAGACGCUUAUGCUGCAGAGGAAUGUCAUCAGAAAACUGCAGAAUGGAACUUUCCAUGGACUUAGAAAGCUUAAAAACUUAUACCUUCAAAAUAACAACCUAAAGGUGAUCCCAGGCAAUGCAUUUGAGGAGCUGGGUAAUCUGAAUACUUUGCAUCUGCAAAACAAUGUUAUCACAAACUUACCAGCAGAACUUUUUGCACAUAAUCAACAGCUCCAGAAACUCUACCUUUCUAAUAAUCAGUUGUCUUUCCUUCCUGAAGCCAUCUUCUUGAAGCUGCCUAUUCUACAGCAGAUCUCACUUUAUGACAACCAGCUGCAGAGUCUAUCUAUUAACACCUUUGGGCCCAUGGUACUGCAGGACCUGUGGCUGUAUGACAACAUGUUAUCUCAUCUUGAGGAAAAUGUAUUUAGCAAUUUAACUCAUAUGCAACUUCUUGUGCUGAGCAGAAACCGGAUCUCACAUAUUUCUCCUGGUGUGUUCAAUGGAUUGAAUGAGCUGAAAGAAAUUUCUUUGCACACUAACUGCCUGACAAGCCUUGAUGAAACAGUGUUCAGAGGCCUUCCAAAGUUGGUCAACAUAUCUUUGGAAAACAACAAAAUUCAGUACAUUCCAGAAAAUCUACUUGAAGGUGGAAUCAUGACAAUAUUCCAAAACUUCCAUCUCAUCAUACCGUUAUUCAAAGAUCACUAAGCUGAAAACAUUUAUCUUGUAUAAGAACCAGCUGACAUCAAUACCUGAUGGAUAAUCUACCAAAUUUGAAAGAAAUAGACAUGAAUGCCAACAGAAUCCGUUUAAGAUGAAGUCUUCUUCUCCAGAGGUUUGUGAGCGUCCGGAAGACUUGAAAGGCCAAUCAAGCACAUCUUUAAAAGAAGACCAACUGAUAUGUCAAAUAUCUCUGCUAACCAUUACAAACAAUAUGACUGUUCCAACAACUACCAGCACAUUAGAAACCACUCAGCUUACAACUAUACCAUCAAAUACUUCUUCUUCUCCUAUUAACAGCCACAGUAAUCCUUACAAAAACCGCAACUUCAACUACAGUAUACACCACUAUUCAUAGUUUUCAGUCAUGUGACUGGCACGGGGACCUGGAGGGCAAAACACCAUUCCAUAAUGUCAGCCAAGACUAGACACUUCAUGGAACUGCAGUAUAGGCCUGUCAAUUUUCCAUCUAUUUCAAACCACGAAUAUGUUGAUGACAUCUCAAAAGAAGAAAAACAAAGGUAUUUGAACAAAGCACAAGUUUUGGGCACUUGCGAUCCAUAUACAGCACCUGCCGCAUGUAUUUCAAUCACUGAAAACAGCGAAGUCCCUGCCAGAGCUCCACAUUGGCAAUAUUGUGGAGAAUCCAUCCCCUUACACUGUCGCCAGGAUGAAAGCGUACAAAAGUACAGACAGUCAUCUGUAUUUUCGAUCUAGAUGGGUCAAUGAUGCUGCCGUUUGGGACGUGAAGGAGAAGAAAUUAAUCACUGUCAGAGCAAAGGUGAGUGCUAAUUACCUAACAUUAGUUUCUGGUUCACUGUAGUCUGUGUUCUAGGGCAGUAAUGUUUUGGUUAGGUUAACAAAAUAUCUAAUGACAUAAAUCCAAUCAAAACUUUUUUUUUUAAUGUCAGGUAAACCAUUCAUACUGUUUAAACUGUUAGUGCACCCAACUGAACAACAACUAUAUGACAUUUUGGCAAAACAAAUCUGGUAAAUAUAACUGGCAGGCAGCGGAAGAAAGCCGAGUUUGGCCCUCCAGGUGGCCGUUCCCAUAAAAAUGUGACGUCAGGUGAAAAUUAUGAAUAACAGCAACCACACAACCAACUACUCCAACCGCAGAACCAACCACUGCAUCUACAGCUUUAACAGAUUCAGUUCCAACUCCAGAGGCCACAACUACUACACUCUUUACUACACACAAAAUAAGGAAAAUAACACCAGCCUCCACCACCCCUAGGACUUUUGUCUGUAGUUGUUACUCCAACUCUCAGCAUCCUUCCAAGAACAUUUAUUAAAAUGACUGCCCAUACUUCUUAGGGUGUUCAUGUAUGCUGGGGCAAGACGAUAAACACACUACACUAUGUGCUGACACGAGUCAAUAUUUUGGAGCAACAUAGAAUAAGGUAAAUAUUUUCUAUGUCUUAUUGGUAGACACAUAAUAUUUCUAUUGUUAUGUUGAUAAUUAUCAUGCUAAAUAGAUACAAAUAUGAGGAGGUUAAUAUUUUGAAUCAUUGAUAGUUAAGUGUUUUAGACUGUAUCCACUUGGAUCCGAUUUUAAGCUUAUAUUACAAGAACACAUAGUAUGGGUGAUCAAAUAGUUAGGUCUAGUCUCUCAUUUGCAUGUACAAACUAUGACAACAUUAUCUAAGAAAAGAACAUCAUAGUACAUGUGUUGUUUUUUUUUUAUAGAAAUAAAAUAAAAAUAAAAAUCAACCAUAAGGUGAUAUGAUUCUGAAAUUGAUUAUUUUCACAUAAUAGCAAGUCCUGAUGUGUAUUAUUUGUCUUAUAUUAUUAAUGACCAUGUGGUAAUUUAUUGAUCCACAAUGCUGUGCAAUGUCUGUGAAACAAAAUCCUGUUAUCAUAAACAUUAUAACAUCUACAGACAGUCAUUUUCUCACUUUCUCUAGAGUUUAAUAAGACAAAAAUUUCAGCUUGUUACAGAGAAACCACACAACAUUCUACAUCCUUUAAUGUUCACUCAGUGCUUAUU